rnacentral:rRNA from 1 species
UACGGAGGGUGCAAGCGUUAUCCGGAUUUACUGGGCUUAAAGGGUGCGUAGGUGGGUCUGUAAGUCAGUGGUGAAAUCUCCGAGCUUAACUCGGAAACUGCCAUUGAUACUAUAGGUCUUGAAUAUCCUGGAGGUAAGCGGAAUAUGUCAUGUAGCGGUGAAAUGCUUAGAUAUGACAUAGAACACCCAUUGCGAAGGCAGCUUACUACGGGAUCAUUGACACUGAGGCACGAAAGCGUGGGGAUCAAACAGG